rnacentral:rRNA from 1 species
UGGGGAAUUUUGGACAAUGGGCGAAAGCCUGAUCCAGCAAUGCCGCGUGUGUGAAGAAGGCCUUCGGGUUGUAAAGCACUUUUGUCCGGAAAGAAAUCCUCUGGGUUAAUACCUCGGGGGGUAUGACGGUACCGGGAGAAUAAGCACCGGCUAACUACGUGCCAGCAGCCGCGGUAAUACGUAGGGUGCAAGCGUUAAUCGGAAUUACUGGGCGUAAAGCGUGCGCAGGCGGUUUUGUAAGACGGAUGUGAAAUCCCCGGGCUUAACCUGGGAACUGCAUUCGUGACUGCAAGGCUAGAGUAUGGCAGAGGGGGGUUAGAAUUCCACGUGUGAGCAGUGAAAUGCGUAGAGAUGUGGAGGAAUACCGAUGGCGAAGGCAGCCCCCUGGGCCAAUACUGACGCUCAUGCACGAAAGCGUGGGGAGCAAACAGGAUUCAGAUACCCUGGUAGUCCACGCCCUAAACGAUGUC